AUGCGCAGGCAUGAUAGAUUUGAAGAAGGCAAUGACAAGGAUCACGGAGAUGGAGGAAGAACUCAAGGCUACACACGAAGAUUAUAUGGAGGAAAUCGUCGCACUAGUAGAGAAGAAUGGCGACCUGCAAAGAAGCUAGGAGUUUUCAUGGGAGACCCUGCGCCAGGAGGAGAAGAUGACAGUUCCACUUGCCCGGAGAACUAUAUCAUCAUCGACGACACCGACUCGGACCCUGACGAUAGCGAUGGUGACUAUGUUGAUGAAGCUGGAGCAGAUAUCAUGGAGUCUUUGACCGAUCAAUUUUUCUAA
rnacentral:rRNA from 1 species